rnacentral:rRNA from 1 species
AUUGAACGCUGGCGGCAGGCCUAACACAUGCAAGUCGAGCGAGCGGCGGAAGGGUGAGUAAUGUAUGGGGACUGCCCGCUAGAGGGGGAUAACUCCUGGAAACGGUAGCUAAUACCGCAUACUAUCGGAUAACCCAUAUGGGAUUAGCUAGUGGGUGAGGUAAUGGCUCACCUAGGCGACGAUCCCUAGCUGGUCUGAGCGGAUGAGCAGUCACACUGGGACUGAGACACGGCCCAGACUCCUACGGAGGCAGCAGUGGGGAACAUUGCACAAUGGGCGCAAGCCUGAUGCAGCCAUGCCGCGUGUAUGAAGAAGGCCCUAGGGUUGUAAAGUAUUUUCAGUCGGGAGGCGUUACCGACAGAAGAAGCACCGGCUAACUCCGUGCCAGCAGCCGCGGUAAUAC